CAGGAAGGCAGCAGGCGCGCAAAUUACCCAAUCCUAAUUCAGGGAGGUAGUGACAAUAUAUAACGAUACAGGGCCCUUUUGGGUCUUGUAAUUGAAAUGAGUACAAUGUAAAUACCUUAACGAGGAACAAUUGGAGGGCAAGUCUGGUGCCAGCAGCCGCGGUAAUUCCAGCUCCAAUAGCGUAUAUUAAAGUUGUUGCAGUUAAAAAGCUCGUAGUUGAACCUUGGGCCUGGUUAGCCGGUCUGCUUUUUUGCAUGUACUGGAUUUAACCGGGUCUUUCCUUCUGGCUAACCUUUUGGUGAACCAGGACUUUUACUUUGAAAAAAUUAGAGUGUUCAAAGCAGGCCUUUGCUCGAAUAUAUUAGCAUGGAAUGAUAGAAUAGGACGUUAUGGUUCUAUUUUGUUGGUUUCUAGGACCAUCGUAAUGAUUAAUAGGGACGGUCGGGGGCAUCAGUAUUCAAUUGUCAGAGGUGAAAUUCUUGGAUUUAUUGAAGACUAACUACUGCGAAAGCAUUUGCCAAGGACGUUUUCAUUAAUCAAGAACGAAAGUUAGGGGAUCGAAGAUGAUCAGAUACCGUCGUAGUCUUAACCAUAAACUAUGCCGACUAGGGAUCGGGUGGUGUUCUUUUUUGACCCAC
rnacentral:rRNA from 1 species